GAUGAAGAACGUAGCGAAAUGCGAUACGUAGUGUGAAUUGCAGAAUUCAGUGAAUCAUCGAAUCUUUGAACGCACAUUGCACCUCUCGGUAUUCCGGGAGGUAUGCCUGUUCGAGCGUCAUUUGUACCCUCAAGCUCUGCUUGGUGUUGGGUGUUUGUUCCGCCUCUGUGUGUGAACUCGCCUCAAAACAAUUGGCAGCCGGCGUACUUGUUUCGGAGCGCAGCACAUUUUGCGAUCCAGAUCAACGUACAGCGGCAUCCAAGAAGCCUUAUUUAACGCUCUUGACCUGGAUCAGGUAGGGAUACCCGCUGAACUUAAGCAUAUCAAUAAGCGGAGGA
rnacentral:misc_RNA from 1 species